GCUAUCUACAGGCUUAACACAUGCAAGUCGAGGGGCAUCAGGAAGAAAGCUUGCUUUCUUUGCUGGCGACCGGCGCACGGGUGAGUAACACGUAUCCAACCUGCCCUUUACUCGGGGAUAGCCUUUCGAAAGAAAGAUUAAUACCCGAUGGCAUAAUGAUUCCGCAUGGUUUCAUUAUUAAAGGAUUCCGGUAAAGGAUGGGGAUGCGUUCCAUUAGGUUGUUGGUGAGGUAACGGCUCACCAAGCCUUCGAUGGAUAGGGGUUCUGAGAGGAAGGUCCCCCACAUUGGAACUGAGACACGGUCCAAACUCCUACGGGAGGCAGCAGUGAGGAAUAUUGGUCAAUGGGCGCUAGCCUGAACCAGCCAAGUAGCGUGAAGGAUGAAGGCUCUAUGGGUCGUAAACUUCUUUUAUAUAAGAAUAAAGUGCAGUAUGUAUACUGUUUUGUAUGUAUUAUAUGAAUAAGGAUCGGCUAACUCCGUGCCAGCAGCCGCGGUAAUACGGAGGAUCCGAGCGUUAUCCGGAUUUAUUGGGUUUAAAGGGAGCGUAGGUGGACUGGUAAGUCAGUUGUGAAAGUUUGCGGCUCAACCGUAAAAUUGCAGUUGAUACUGUCAGUCUUGAGUACAGUAGAGGUGGGCGGAAUUCGUGGUGUAGCGGUGAAAUGCUUAGAUAUCACGAAGAACUCCGAUUGCGAAGGCAGCUCACUGGACUGCAACUGACACUGAUGCUCGAAAGUGUGGGUAUCAAACAGGAUUAGAUACCCUGGUAGUCCACACAGUAAACGAUGAAUACUCGCUGUUUGCGAUAUACAGUAAGCGGCCAAGCGAAAGCAUUAAGUAUUCCACCUGGGGAGUACGCCGGCAACGGUGAAACUCAAAGGAAUUGACGGGGGCCCGCACAAGCGGAGGAACAUGUGGUUUAAUUCGAUGAUACGCGAGGAACCUUACCCGGGCUUAAAUUGCAGUGGAAUGAUGUGGAAACAUGUCAGUGAGCAAUCACCGCUGUGAAGGUGCUGCAUGGUUGUCGUCAGCUCGUGCCGUGAGGUGUCGGCUUAAGUGCCAUAACGAGCGCAACCCUUAUCUUUAGUUACUAACAGGUUAUGCUGAGGACUCUAGAGAGACUGCCGUCGUAAGAUGUGAGGAAGGUGGGGAUGACGUCAAAUCAGCACGGCCCUUACGUCCGGGGCUACACACGUGUUACAAUGGGGGGUACAGAAGGCAGCUAGCGGGUGACCGUAUGCUAAUCCCAAAAGCCUCUCUCAGUUCGGAUCGAAGUCUGCAACCCGACUUCGUGAAGCUGGAUUCGCUAGUAAUCGCGCAUCAGCCACGGCGCGGUGAAUACGUUCCCGGGCCUUGUACACACCGCCCGUCAAGCCAUGGGAGCCGGGGGUACCUGAAGUACGUAACCGCAAGGAUCGUCCUAGGGUAAAACUGGUGACUGGGGCU
rnacentral:rRNA from 1 species